CAAGCCUGGAGGGUGAUGUGCGAUCCUUGGAUGCUCAGGAUAUUCCACCUUUGGUUUCCGUGGAUGAUAUACUGCAGCUGGGAGGUCUGCCUCGAUCAGAGAGUCUUCAAGAAUCUGACCGAGACUGUAACAGUGUAGUGAGUGAGCUAAUUGACCAGUCUGCUUACGAUAUCCGUACUGACCUACCAAACGCGGACCAUUCCUUACCUGAUCAGUUAAGUACUGACUGUGUUGAUGGACACACUAUUGCAACAGUGCACAACACUGUUACCCCUUAUGCAGUUGAAGGUAGUCAGGGUCAUAUUAGGUCAAGGGCAGGAAGGCUAUUUAAACCAGUGUCAAGACUGAUUGAGAUUAUGAAUCAGCAGAAAGUUAGCUCUUGAAGGUAAAAUAUGUGAAUAGAGGGUCAAUGGUAUUGACAUCUUUUAUUUGUUUUGCUUUUACAUCAUUGUGACCAUAAUUAGAGGUUGCAGGAUGGUAAUGUGACAUGAUAAAGUCUCUUAUGGUGGUUUAUUUUAUUACUUGGAUGUUUGAAAGUCACCAAGUGUACUUAACAUGUGACAGGGCAUGUUUACCUAUGAGGGCUAAGGGGUUUGAUCAACCACUUUUCACUCUAAUUCUCAAGGAGAAUAGUCUAAGGACUGGAAUAUUUAGUGACUGAUUUAAAGCAGGGUCUGCAUCCUUGAUAUACACAGCGUUACCUUUUAGUUCUCUAUUAGGUAGUACAUUUUUUUUUCUCUGGAUUAUUCUGUACAUAUGUUGAGUGUCUCUGUAUCUGGUAUGUUUGCACAGUGCCGUUUUGUAUUUUGUUAUUUUUCUUUGCAAGUGGAAUUCAGUAGGGGGGGGAGUGUAACAGGGUUAUAUUGGUGAUUCCCCUUGCCACUUUAUUGUUAAGCCAAUGGGUUUUUGGUUUGAGUUUGUCUUGCCUUCACCUACUCAACAUGGCAUCUUAUUGGCUGGUUUGCGUAGCUUGCUUACGAGGGGGGAUGUUCCAGUUAGAAUCGUCCCAGUGAACAAGCACCAAACCAGCGAUCCUGAAGGAAAUCCCUCCAGAUCUGCAGGAGCGGAUGUGGAACCUGGCAACCCGGGUGGAGGAGCAGCUGACUGGAACACUGGGACCCUGUGGAGGCUUCUCAGAGACAAAUGCUGCUCUAUGUGACUUCAAUGAGUUCCCCUGCAGGGAGGUCCAAUAGGUCCGUAGGCUACCAUCCACCUAUGAUGACACCACAUGAAAUGUUUCUGAUAAAUACAUUUUUUCUACAAUAAAUAUCAACUUAUGUCAUCAUACAUCAAUAAUAUUAGUGAAUAGAUUUAUUAUGUAUAUUCUUUCAGGAUGUUGACAACAUUUACUAUGCCCAGAAUUGUUUGGAAUCUCUCCUUCAACCAAUGGUUCACCAAUAUCUCCAACAAAGACCUCAAACUAGUAAACCUUUUAGCCACAUCCUGAUUUGUUUUUCCAAGUCCUGUUAGAGAGCACACUAUCUCAUGUUAUUAUACAGCUUGAUGCUUCUCUCCCUGAGUUCUCUUGCUCUGAGUCUUGCACUCUCUGGUUCUGUCAUGGAUGUCACAUUCAUAAGUUUUGGCAGUGUGAGCUGAUGAUGGGAUCUUGUGGAUGACCAAACUGUCCGACCCGGUCAGCGCUGCAGGGUCUAGCAGGCCUUAUCAACAGUCCUCACAUGUGCACACAGAGCACUGUGCCCUGGAGGCAGGGCGCCAUACUGACUUCAUAAUCUAGCUGCUGUUGUGUUACUGGUACUGCAGUGCUUUUAGACAAUCACCUGGCUAUGAUGGAGGUCAGGGAAAUUACCUUCACGAGGAGAGAGAAUUUGUGUGUAUGAUAUUC